rnacentral:rRNA from 1 species
CCUACGGGUGGCAGCAGUGAGGAAUAUUGGUCAAUGGGCGGGAGCCUGAACCAGCCAAGUCGCGUGAGGGAAGACGGUCCUAUGGAUUGUAAACCUCUUUAGGCGGGGAGCAAUGCCGGGCACGCGUGCCCGGAGGGAGAGUACCCGCAGAAUAAGCAUCGGCUAACUACGUGCCAGCAGCCGCGGUAAUACGUAGGGGGCAAGCGUUAUCCGGAUUUACUGGGUGUAAAGGGAGCGUAGACGGUUAUGUAAGUCUGGAGUGAAAGCCCGGGGCCCAACCCCGGGACUGCUUUGGAAACUGUGUAACUGGAGUACAGGAGGGGCAGGCGGAAUUCCUGGUGUAGCGGUGAAAUGCGUAGAUAUCAGGAGGAACACCGGCGGCGAAGGCGGCCUGCUGGACUGAAACUGACGUUGAGGCUCGAAAGCGUGGGGAGCAAACAGGAUUAGAUACCCUGGUAGUC